AAUGACUGCAUAUAAAACGUUUCUAGAUCUUUUGAUAAGGGUAGCCAGACAUCAGGUAAGCUAUAAACGUCUCAAGGUGAGUGUUGGAGAUAAUGGGAGGAGAGGAAAAACUACAAGGCUUUUAUCAAUGCUCUUGAAGAAAAAGCAUAAGAACCCAACUGUGAAAGAAAGGUGCCUUCAACAAAUACACCUUGAGGAAGAGCCUGUCACUAGAGGAUGGAUCUUCAGCUCGGAAGACUGUUUACUGUGCACAGGGGGACAGUCAUCUUCAACCUCAGAAGUUCCACUGUGAUCAAGAAUGCUGCUGCAGAGAAAACAGAGUUGGAAAAAUUGGAUCUAUUGAGCUCGAGUUAAAAGUUAAGGCACCCAGAUAAAGUUCUGAUACCACCCUCUUCACCACAGUACAUAAGUGCAUUCCAGGAGUGCAUUACUUCAUUCCUACCAGUAAAAUAAACAAUACUUUGGUUUAAGAAGGCUGUCUGGUUACAAUAUUUACCACUGGUCACAGAGUCCUGAAGGAAAGAACCACAGGUAUCCAAACCCAGUAGAACCCACUCAACAAGCACAGAUGAUACACAAGAUACUGUAAACCAGAGCCUGGUCUCUGAGUAGGGUUGUUGUUGAAUUCCACCCCAGGAGAAGUAAAUGUUCGAGGCCUGACACUCAAGGAUGUAUACACAGAGAAACAAGGAAUGGCUAGUCUAAAAUAUAUGUUUAUACCAAAGUAGAAGGAUCAUGCCUAUUUGAAAUCUAGGAAGUAGUGGAUGGCAUCCACUAGAACUAAAGGUCUGCCCCCUCAUGUGAAGGAAGGACCAGAGGACCUAGGACACAACGCAGGAUGGGCAACAACAAAUGUGGGUGGGUGGCGGAGGUCAGAGGUUCAAAACAAGGAUACCAGAGGGGGAUACCGAGUGAAGAACCCUGGACACAGCUCACAACUUUGCAAAGGAAUCAAUGGAUGCCACCCACCUUUGCCUGGAUGUGAGAGAGAACCAGGGAACGGAAGGAGGCCCCAUAGUUGCCGAGAACCUUCCUGUGGAACUGCCUGCUCCUGGAGUGAUGAAUGGCCAUCUUGGGUAACAGCAGAAGGAGGUCGACAAGGAGAUCCCACAACUUGUGGGGCCACUGACGGAAUGUGUAAGUGAAAAGAUAUGGAGAAAAGUGCAGCCAGAACCUCAGCUGGAGGCUCAUGAGGAGCUGAAAGACAGGCUGAAAUCUGUUGCACUCCAAAUAGAUAAGUGCCAGGAUCUCCCUCUUGCCGCAGAAAGGGCUAGCGUUGGGGGCAUCUGUGAACCCUGCCAG